AUAUUCAAUAGUAUACAUAUAGUAUACACACUUCUAUAUACCUUAACACUCCUCCCUCCACAAGGUUUAUUUAACUUUUAACAUUUUAAUUGCCCCAAAUUGUUCAAACCUACCCAAAUAAUUCAUUAUCUUCUCAAACCAAUCCUCCUCUUUCUCACUGACCUUAAACCCUUUCAUUCUAUAUAUCUUCACAGUUAGGUAUUCUAAAAUUAUAAUAUUAUCCAGUUUUUCUGCUAGUGCAUCUGUCCUGUUUUCUAACAUUCCUUUCAUACUGCAGUCCCUUACGUGUUACGGAACUGUGACUUUAUGACCGACAUACCGGCACGUCACGCCAAAUUCCAUUCACACCAGUGAGUGUGGUCCAUACCCUCCAACAUUUCCCCCAUGAAAAUCGGGACAUCCUAAGGAAAAUCGGGACAUUCUGGGUUCAAAUCAGAAACCGGGACGGCUUCUGUAAAUCCGGGACUGUUCUGGAAAAUAGGGGCACUUGGAGGGUUGGGUGGUGUUAACGCAGCAACGGGCAUCAUUGGACAACAUUGCUACCCAAGCUACCAUUUCCGCACAUGCAUGCUUCUGUUCCCCUAGGGUCCCCCCAUGGGAAUGGCAGGAGAGAGGUACAUGCCCCAGAUUUCAUCACUUUACUCCUGUGAUUCUCAAAGCUAAGGGGGUUGCAACCAGAUGUUUUUGCUGGAAUCGUGUAACACAGAAACGAGCACCAAAAACCCACUAUAUUCUUCUCUCCCCCCCCAAUUUUUUUUAUUGAUUUUCCAAAAUUUAUAAACACACAAACAAACAUAAAUCCUAACUGUACUCUUAGUAACAAUGUUAAGUGACUUCCUCAAAUCCCCCUGGCUGAUUUUCAGUAAAUAUCAUUGUAACAGUUUUCCAAAACAAGUUUCUCAUAAAAUUUACUUAAUCACUUAACAUCUUUCUUUCUUUUCAUCUUUACUUUAAACAUAUUAUUCUAUAACAUCACAUAUUUAAAUCCUAAGCCUAUCUAUUAUUUGCAAGUAUUUCUAUAUAAACUAUCUUAGCAUAUUUAACUAAAUAGUCUUUGAAUUUCAUCCAUUCCUCCUGGUACUCCUCCUCCUUCUGGUCGUGGACUCUUCCGGUCAGGUCGGCUAGCUCCGAAAAGUCCAUCAUCUCCUUCUGCCAUUCCUCCACUGUUGGCACUUCUUGUGUUUUCCAAUUCUUAGCCAAUAAAAUUCUAGCUGCAGUUGUCGCAUACAAAAACAAUCUAACAUCUUUUUUUGGCAAUUCCAAACCUGUUAUUCCAAGAAGAAAGGCCUCUGGUUUCUUAAUAAAUGUAUAUUUCAACAUUUUUUCAAUUCAUUAUAAAUCUUCUCCCAGAAGUCUUUCACCUUGGGGCAGGUCCACCACAUAUGAUAAAAGGUACCCUCUUUUUCUUUACAUUUCCAGCAUAGAUUAUCACUGUUAUGAUAUAUCUUUGCUAAUUUUACAGGAGUUAAGUACCAUCCAAACACCCACUAUAUUCUCGAAGUUUUCCCGAAGUGACUUUUCACGUGAAAGCUCAAAUCUAAAGAGUUAGGGAAACAUCAGGGAAAUGGGUGGAAAAAAAGUUGUGUGGAUGCAGCCUAAGUCAAUGAGAAGUGGGAGAGUUAGUAUGUAUUGGUGGCUGUGCGUCUCCCCAGUCCUGGCCAAGCAAUUGUAAGAAGCUGCCUUGUACCGAAUCAGACCAUUGGUCCAUCGAGCUCAGCCUUGUUGGGCUACAGCUCCCAUAAUCCCAGACCAUUGGCCGAGCUGGUUGGGGAUGAUGGGAAUUAGUAUAGUCCUGACAAUAUCUGGGGGUGCAAAGCUGAGAAACGUUGGCUGUCCCAUCCUACCCCAACUUGGUGCCUUCCAGAUAUGGCCAUGCCAGAGCCAGUUAGAGGCUACAAGGUUGGGCUCUGCAAGGUUUCAGACAGAGACUUUCCCCAGCCCUAGCUGGAACUGCCGGAGAUAGGAAGUGGGACCUUCUCCAUGCAUAACUCCCACUGAGUAAUAAUCUUGGGUUGUGCAAGAGAUAGCAGUGCUGUUGCCCAUGUUAUGUAAUGAAGUUCUCACCCUGGGCCAGCAGGGGGAUACUGUAGAUAGUUCAGGUCCACAUAUGCAAAUAAGGGAUCGAAAGUGACGUUCAGUGAUUGGAUAGUUACAAAAAAUGGUUGUGUUCUAGUGGAGCUCCAUAUAAGCAGGCUGGCUGAACCCUUCAGUUCAGUUCUGUUCUGGCCUGUGAAUAAACAAGAGCUGUUUGAAGAAUCGCUGUGUUGUCCGAUAUGUUCACCCACAACCUAACAGCAUAUGUUAAGAUGCUGGUAGGACUGACUUUCUCUGAUUUUUUUUUUUAAGGGAACAAAAUCCAGCAACUGUGAGAUAAGAGGAUUUCUUGAAACAGGUGCUUAAUAUAGCUGUUAUUGGCAUAUUUAUGGAGCCGAAUAGUAAUCCAUAAUGAGUUACUUCCCAGUUGUUGUGCCUUUUCGUUGCGAAAACUGAACAGGCUGCUGGGAGCCUCCCCGAAGAGCCUGCUAAAAUCCUUGCGCUGCUAACAAAACUAAUUUUCUCGUGACUUUUUGCACCGAAGCAAUCUGAUAAGCGCUAAUGCUAUAAACCAAUGCAUAGAAAAUCCUUAGGGGGAGCGUUUUCCUUGUACGGGCUUCUUUCCUCCAAGCACACACACGCACACACGCCUGGCUGCACAGAACAAAAUCCAGAUGCCACAAAUGCCAGGUGGAUGUUUGUAUGCACAAGACUGAAGCGCUAAGGCCUGCCUGGAAGUUGUUCCCUAGCUAGCCACACAGAAGGCAAAUCCCUUUGACUCCCAGAGUUCAGAGAGAUCAAUGCAUCAACUUUUUAGAUCUUGCAUGCAAGUAACUUUGAAAUAUUCUGCGCUGGAGGUGCUUUGAGUGCUGAUCUCUUCCGUACCCCACCUGCCUCGGCCUUAAAAUCUAUUCAAGUUUUUUCUGGACCGCCAAACCUCUAUCCUUUCUGCUGCCUAACCCUCCUGAACCCUAUUCCUUAUUGACUGCGUCAAAAAUUUUACCCUGCGUUUGCCCCUGCAUUUGCCGCUUUCCAUCAGAGGGCGAGAAAAUAAUUUUAUUUUGAAGAUUGUUUUUUUAAAAGGGAGAUAAGAUUUUGGUGAAAACCACCACCACCACCACCUCGCCCAUCUGGCUGGGUUUCCCCAGCCACUCUGGGCAGCUCCCAACAGAAUUAAUGUUAAUAAUAAUUUAAAAAGCGAUAAAACACCAGACAUUAAAAACUUCCCCUGAAUAGGGCUGCCUUCAGAUAUCUUCUAAAAGUCAGAUAGUUGUUUAUUUCCUUGACAUCUGAUGGGAGGGCGUUCCACAGGGCAGGUGCCACUACCGAGAAGGUCCUCUGCCUGUAACCUCAUUUCUCACAAUGAGAGAACCACACCCAAAAUCUUGUGGGUGGGGGGCAGAGUUUGUGUAUUGCCAUCUUGCAUACCCUUCAACAUUUCUAUGGUGAAAAUAGGGACAUCCUAAGAAAAAAGGGACAUUCCGGGAUCAAAUCAGAAACUCCUGUCAGAUGGCUCCUGUCAAUCCAGGACUGUCCCUGGAAAAUACAGACAUGUGGAGGAGAGUCUGAUCUUGGCAGUGGCCUGCACCCUUUCCGGGGUUCUCCCUCUCGUUAUAGCCCAAGGGAAUUACAUCAUGACGUAAUUACACCCCUGGGACUUUUCCACACCAGGAAGUGCAGGCGACCAGCCCAGUAAAUGUUCGAUGGGAAGAAACGCAGUGCCAACUCCCUCAGCCACCAUGCAGCAAUAAGGUAGCCUUAAACAUCCCAGCUCACCUGCGGCAGAAAAUGGAAGCAUCCUUUGCAGAGGAAGAAUACUUUGUAGGAACUGGGAGACCGAUAUAAACACACAAACACAUACCUUGCCUCCACCUUUCCUUGCAUUAUCAAGUUUUAACCAUGACUGUUGCACUGGUGGCAGGUCUACCCAGGUUUCCUCUUAACUAGGCUCUUUAGAUCUGCUUCACACCUCCGUUUUGAAUUUUGAGAUAAGAAAAAAGAGCCACUCCAUGGGCUUGUUCUCUCUUUCUUGGUCCCCUGUAGGGUUGUUCUGGUGUGCUGCGUGCCUAUUCAUAAUCUGCGCUUUGAGAGGUAGUAAUUAUCGAGCAGAUGUAGAGUACAGUGGUACUGAGGUUCUUAAGCAGCUUACUGAUACAGCAGUUUAGGAAAUGUGUACUGGCUGUAGUAACAUUAUUUCUGGUUGCCUGUCUUAGUUCGUUUUGGAUUAAUCCGUCUUUCGCUCGGGAGGGAAAUGAAUCGAGUCAGUCCCUUCGAGAGUUAUGUAAAAAUCUGUUAACGGUGCUAAAUAAAUGUGCAGAAUUUUAUGUGCGCUGCUGAAAUUGGAAUGUCGGUUUGACACAAAUUCUCCCAAACAGAGUGUUGGAUGAGCUGGUCCUGUUCUGAAAACGAGGGGCUUGACAACUUUUCAUUUAGGUAGGAUUCCAGGGUUGAACUGUCCUGUUUUCUUGCAUAGAAAGCAUAUUUACUGUGCCAUAACGUGCCCGGAUAAAUCUGAUCUAUUGGUGGACAUCUUCGUUUAUAACAUAAAGUAGCAGGCCACGGCUCUCUUUGUCUCCUGUUCUAGUUGUGUGUAAUUAAAAUAACAUUGGAAUCUGCCUUGCGUCAGCCAUCAGCCAUAGCAAUAAAACAACAAUACGAUAUAC